CCUGAUAGCUCAGAUGGUAAAGAAUCUGCCUGCAAUGCAGGUGAUCAGGGUUCAAUCCCUGGGUCAGGA
rnacentral:tRNA from 1 species